rnacentral:lncRNA from 13 species
AAUAGACUGGAUUGGAAAAAUGUGGCACAUAUACACCAUGGAAUAUUAUGCAGCAAUCAGAAAUGAUGAGUUUGUGUCGUUUGUAGGGACAUGGAUGAAUCUGGAGAACGUCAUCCUCAGCAAACUGACACAAGAACAGAAAAUGAAACACCGCAUAUUCUCACUCAUAGGAGGGAAACAUGAUUGUUUUACUUGCUAUAAUUUGCAAGAGGCAACAAAUGGUGACAUUUUUAGUGAAGAACCAGCCAAAUGUACAUGCUGUUGACAAUUUCGAGAAGAACAGCCCACAUGCUUGCCACACAUCAUAACUUGCCAAGUAUAGUCAGCCUUCUCCUUGAAGAAAAUAUUAGAGUCUUUUCUCAGGAUAUGUUUGGACAAACAGCAGACGAUUAUGCUGUUUGUUGUGAUUUGAUAAGGCAGUCUUACUGCUAUUUUGUAGAACGUGGGAUUAUGCUGGAAAUGUCUGUUUUGAGAUUCUCCACAGAAAGUGUUUGCAAACCGCUGAAUGCACACCUCCUGGAUAUUUAUGAGUUGAAUGGUCGACUCUCUCCCAGGUGUUCUGUUUGCUUGUUAAAAAAGACCAAGGAAUAAAGACCGACUCAAGAGGGUGCAGUAAGAACAACCCAGGAUUGAAGCUCUCAGUGAAUGCAUGGAGGGUAAGUCAGGGCCGCAUUUUCAGACAGAUUUUUCUUGCCCACAGAACGGGGAAAUUCCCAGGUAUAGAAGAAACAUGGGACACAAGCGAAGCGGUUUUGGCUGGAGCAGCCAGUGGCCGGUGCAGCCAGCGGCUGGUGCUGUAGCACAGUGGCACUCCACAGCACUCGGCAUACAGCGCACUGGUCCGUGUGCCCUGUUGAACCGGCAAUCUGAGACAUGAGAGGGCAGAUUGGCAUAUCCAUCUGAUGGAAUGGGACUUGGACAGUGAGCCACGCCUGGAGAUUCCAGGGAAAUGGCAUCUGGGCCAGCACAGUGGGACAAACAAAUGGCGAUUUCAAAUGCUCUGGGUGGAGAGAUUCACUGCGGGCACAGCUGAACCCAGGAUGGUGCAGCUCUGUGAGAGAGGGGCGUCCACCAUGACCGAGGCAAUCCGCCCCACUGAAGUACACUCCCAUUGCUGAUGCAGCCUGCCAUUGCCGAGGCAACCCACCACAACAGAGAGACUCCACCACAGGGCAUAGCCCGUGGCAGCAGGGUGGAGACCACAGCUGCAAGGCAGAGCCUGCAGACACAGGGUGGACAUCACACCAGCAGGGGGGAGCCUCGGCAGGGAAAUAGUGACUAGACUGCCUCCUAGCUGGGCAGGACAGCACAACGGACACUAAUUAAAAAAACCCAACCCCUCAAGACAGAGCAUCUGAGAAAAAAAGGUUUUUCUUAUGAGUUCUGCUGCAGCAGAAUUAAAUAUAGCAGCCUAACAGCCCUGAAUGAACAACAGAGCUCACAGCUCAGCACUUGAGCGCCUAUAUAGUAGACUGUCUCCUCAAGCAGCUCCCUGACCCCUCUAUAUCCACAAGACUGACAUUUGAAAGGUAUCAUUCUGGGACAAAGAUAGCAGACAAAGAAACUGGUAGCAUCCCGCACUAUUCUGAAGCUGCUAUAGGUGCACCCCAGACAAGCAGGGCCUGAAGUGGACCUCAGCAGUCGUACAGUGGAGGGGCUAGACUGGUAGAAGGAAAACCAAGUAACAGAAAUACUUCAUCAUCAACAAUCUGGGCAUCCACUCAGAGACCAAAUCGAAAAGUCAGCAACUACUCAAAAAACAGGUGGAAAAAUGCACAAAGAUGAGAAGAAAGCAGAGCAAAAAGGAGAAAAACACCCGAAACCAGAACACCACGCCUCCUAUGAAGGACCAAAACUCCUCACCACCAAGGGAACAAAGCUGGAUGGAGAAUGACUGUGACAAAAGGACGGAAUUAGACUUCAGAAGGUGGAUAAUGAGAAACUUUUGUGAGCUAAUAGAACAUGUUUUAAAUCAAUGCAAAGAAACUAAGAAACUUGAAAAAAGAUUUGAAAAAAGAUUCGAGGAAAUGAUAACAAGAAUGGAUAACUUAGAUAGAAAUAUGAAUGAAUUGAAGAACCUGAAAAACACAACAUGAGAACUUUGUGAAGCAUGCACAAGUUUCAACAGCCGAAUUGGCCAAGCAGAAGAAAGAAUAUCAGAAGUCGAAGAUCAACUCAAUGAAAUAAAACCAGAAACCAAGAUCA